rnacentral:rRNA from 1 species
CCUACGGGAGGCAGCAGUGGGGAAUAUUGCGCAAUGGGCGAAAGCCUGACGCAGCGACGCCGCGUGAGGGAUGAAGGUCCUCGGAUCGUAAACCUCUGUCAGAAGGGAAGAAGUUGCACUGUGCUAAUCAGCGGUGCAUUGACGGUACCUUCAAAGGAAGCACCGGCUAACUCCGUGCCAGCAGCCGCGGUAAUACGGAGGGUGCGAGCGUUAAUCGGAAUUACUGGGCGUAAAGCGCACGUAGGCUGUAUAUCAAGUCAAGGGUGAAAUCCCCGGGCUCAACCUGGGAACUGCCUUUGAAACUGGUAAACUGGAGUAUGUGAGAGGGUGGCGGAAUUCCUGGUGUAGGAGUGAAAUCCGUAGAUAUCAGGAGGAACAUCAGUGGCGAAGGCGGCCACCUGGCACAAAACUGACGCUGAGGUGC